rnacentral:tRNA from 1 species
GGAGCUGUAGUUCAACAGCAGAAUGCUGGUGUGACAUGCCAGCGACGAGGGUGCGAUUCCCUCCAGCUCCA